rnacentral:ncRNA from 1 species
GAGAAAGAGGAGAAGGGCGAACGGGGGAUGCCUAGGCUAUCCGGAGGCGAGGAAGGACGCGGUAAGCUGCGAAAAUUCACGGGGAUUCGCAAACAGGAAGUGAUCCGUGAGUGUCCGAAUGGGGCAACCCGGCAGGCUGAAGGCCUGUCACCAUCAUAUGAUGGGGCGAACGGGGGGAACUGAAACAUCUCAGUACCCC